AGGUACUACUGCGUCCUCCAACAAUAAAAUCAAGUAACCAUGAUAUAACUAAGAGUGUUGAAAGUGGUGUUAAACACCCAACAAUCAAUCCAGUUUCAAAGUUAAACAUUUCAAUAUAUUUAGCAAAUAUAUUUAUUGUUCAGCUACAGACAAUGAUAGCAUAAUAUGUAAACCUUAAUCGUUCUUCUGUCUUCUAUUUGUCCGUCCCAUGGUCCUUAUAUAUAAAACAAGCAAAAAGUUAUUUACAUCAAUGUUUAAGUCCUACAUAUUUUUUUCUUCCAAAUAUAUCAGGCAGAC
rnacentral:lncRNA from 1 species